AUUUCUUUAGUAUAAUAGUACAAGUGCCCUCCAAGCAUUAAGCCCCAUUAAGGGAAGAAAUA
rnacentral:tRNA from 1 species